UUACUUUGGCAGCACAUAUACUAAAACUGCAAAGAGACAGAGAAGGUUAGCAAGGCCUCUGUGCAAGGUGACAUGGAAAUUUGUGAAGCGUUCCAUAUCUAA